GGGCUCCCGCGGGACGUCCCGGAAUCCCAGGAGUGCAUCCCUUCCCGCCUGAGGGCCUGCCUGGCCCUGACUCCCGACCCGCUCCUCCUCCGAAGAGAGAUCGGGGCCGCUGACAGGGGCCCUCCGCAGCCACCGGGGAUGGGACUGGGGGGUCGGUUCCUGUCCCGGUGCAGCCGCCGCCGGGUAGACCGCCUGGCUUGGCCGCAGCCAGGGCGACAUGUAGCCCCGGUUCUGCCAGGCUGGGAGCGCCAGCCAUCUUGGGAGUUGCCAGGCAGCUGUCGCCAGCAGGACAGCGGGCUGGGAAGCCAGGGGCCGCCGGGACCUGGGGCUGGAAACCACAUCUGCCCACAGCCGCAGCCUCCUGCACCUGUCAUCCUGGCGGCGCCCUGACGUCGGAGAAGCAGCAGGCGCGGAGCUCCUGCAGCGGGCACCGCUGCAGCAACCCGACCCGGCGCAGGCGGCAGUGGAAGGCGGCCUGCUAGCACGGCUCCCGCGGCCCCAGGACCAGGGGUGCGGCCAGCACCGCCCUCACUCCCCGCGUCUCGUGGAUAUUGCCCUCCCUGGAGGCGGCUGGACCUAAGCGAGGCUCGCAGCGAUCGGCCCCGCGAAGACUCGCAUGCAGGGCUCAGGAUCCCGCAUUCUGGCGCCGCGGCACCGCACCUUUCAGCAGCCCUGCUCCUCUUCUUGUUGGUAAACUUUUGUCACUCUGCCAUGAAAAGCAUCCAGGCGUCCUUGAUUUCGACAUUGCGUGCACGCUCAGCCGAGCUCAUCAGACGGGCGGUUGUCCCCAGAGCCCGCGGGUAGCUUGUUCCCGGGCGGCGGCUCCUGCUGGAUGCAGCUCCUUGUGGGCCUACCAGGCUUGGUGGAGCCACAGCAGACCUGUGGAGAGGAAGAGUAAGGCGGGCUCUGCAGGGCAGUGGGCCGGGACCAUGAGAGAGGCGGGUCAGUCUGGGCUCCAAGCUCAGCCUCUCGGAUUCCCCGGGACCCACGGCUUAUAAUGCGCUUAAAUCCCACGCCUCGCCCGAGAGACAGCACGUCACCGUCACCGUCACCGCCUAGCGCCCCUGACCCGCUCCCACUCCGCUGCAGCGGAGGGUGUGUGAGGGAGAGGGACGCAGGGAGGGAAAAGCGUUGGGAGGGCAAACAUCUUUUCAUAAGCUUUUCCCCUUCUAUAUGCCAUCUCUGAUGGGAGCCUCUUUAGAUCUUUCGUCCAUUUACUAAUUGGGUUGUUCGAUUUCUUAUUGUUGAGUUGUAAGUGGUUUUUAAUGGUCUGGAUGCCAGACAGGUGUUUUGCAAAUAUUUUCUCCGUCUGUGGCUUGUUUCUCCAUUCUCUUAUUUCCUUUCCCAGAGCAAAAGUUUUUAAUUGUAACGACUUCAUACCAAUAUCUUCUUUCAUGGUAGAAAUUUGUCUUUUAUGUACUUUACUGUUGUAUCUACAAAGUAAUUGCCAAACCCAAAGUUACCUAAAUAUCCCUUUUGUUAUUUUACAGAAGUUUUACAGCUUUUGGAUUUAAAUUUAGGUCUAAAAAUUGAAUUCAUAAAAGUAGAGAGUAUAAUGAUGCUUACCAGAGGCUGUGUUGCUGGGGAGAAAAAUGGGAAGUUGUUCACAGAUGCAAAGAUUCAGUUAAACCGGAGAAAUGCGUUUUGAAAUCUAUUGCACAGCAGGAUGACUAUAGUCAAUAAUAAUGUACUGUAUAUUUAAAUAACAAAAAGUAAAUUUCAAAUAUCUAACCACAAAAAAUAAAAUUGAGGUGAUGGGUAUUUUUUAUUUUAUUUAUUUAUUUGUUUAUUUAUUUAUUUUUUUGAGACAGAGUCUCGCUCUUUCGCCCAGGCCGGACUGCAGUGGCAGGGUCUCGGCUCACUGCAAGCUCCGCCUCCUGGGUUCACGCCAUGAGGUGAUGGAUAUUUUAUCCUCGAUGUAGUCAUUCCUCAUUUUAUACACAUAUCCAAGCAUCACAUUGUACCCCAUAAAUGUAUGCAAUUGUGGUUUGAC
ensembl:lncRNA FAM201A family with sequence similarity 201 member A